rnacentral:lncRNA from 1 species
CUGAGUAUUUUCUGGAGAUUUGACUGGAAAAAUCAUUAUACAAUGAUCAUGCCGACGAGUAAGAGGUAGGUUGUGCGGCUCGUCAAAUAUAUCUGAAAAUUCAGCAAGCAAAGGAAAUAGGUUUGGAUCUUCAAAUUCUAUUGGCUCUCCUUUAAUUUUCUGCUCAAGUUGUACCAAAAAGCCCCUGCAUGCUUUAUGCAAAACCUUC